GACGAACGCUGGCGGCGUGCCUAAUACAUGCAAGUCGAGCGGAACUGGGGGAGCUUGCUCCUUCCAGUUUAGCGGCGGACGGGUGAGUGACACGUGGGCAACCUGCCCUGCAGAUCGGGAUAACUCCGGGAAACCGGUGCUAAUACCGAAUAGUUUGGCGCCUCUCCUGAGGCGCUACGGAAAGACGGUUUCGGCUGUCACUGCAGGAUGGGCCCGCGGCGCAUUAGCUAGUUGGGGGGGUAACGGCCCACCAAGGCGACGAUGCGUAGCCGACCUGAGAGGGUGACCGGCCACACUGGGACUGAGACACGGCCCAGACUCCUACGGGAGGCAGCAGUAGGGAAUCUUCCGCAAUGGACGCAAGUCCGACGGAGCAACGCCGCGUGAGUGACGAAGGUUUUCGGAUCGUAAAACUCUGUUGUGAGGGAAGAACACGUACCAACUAACUAUUGGUACCUUGACGGUACCUCACCAGAAAGCCACGGCUAACUACGUGCCAGCAGCCGCAGUAA
rnacentral:rRNA from 1 species